UGCUCAUCCAGAGGGGUGGAGGGACCGGCCCUGCGAAGCCCCGGCAACCCUCCCGGCUUUCGACUCGCGACCUGGCGAGGCCGACCGGGACAAGGUGCCAAUUCCGGUUCGCGGUCAAGGUGGCCGUGGGCGAAGAUGAGGG
rnacentral:ncRNA from 2 species